ACAAAUGGUGUAACUUGCCCAUUUUAUGGAUAAAGGAAUUGAGGCCCACACAGAUGUUAGUGACUUGCUCAUGAUAUUACAAGUGGUACUCAGAGCCAGAGCAUCACAUCCUGAGUAAUAUGGAUAUGAGAUGGUCCCACAGGGUGUCUUCCAGGGAGCUGGUUAUUAAUGAAAGGCACAGAGGAUUUAAAAGGCACAGUCAAAUCAUGGCUACCCUCGUAGUCCAUUUGUUCGUUGGUUUGUCAAAUAUUUCCUCAGGCACUAAGACAAAUCUAAGGCAAGCUGUUUAGGAAGUGAAUAAUUUGCAAGAACCUCCAGCCCUAGAGAGUGGCUGUCUGCUCUAAAACACCAUCUACCUUGCCAGAGGUGAGAAGCCACAGAACCAGCCUUUUUCCAUCUUCCAAGGUGCUACUCUGGCAAAUGCUGUAUACGUAGAACACAUCAACCCCGUGGGUGUCUUAGAAAACUGAUUACAGAACAUUCCUCUUCCUUAAAGAGCAAACUUUGGUUUUUAUUAGCGUAUGUAAAUAUGGAAUAACUUUUGAAUGCAAAUAUGAGUGACAUUAUGUUUUUCUGACAUGUUUGGAAGCCUGGGGCAGGGUGGCAGUGAAUCAGUAAACAUCACCCGUGGUACUCUGGGAAUUUAUCAAUGGUGCACACUAUUAAUGGGCUGUUGCCAUAUGUUCCAUAAUAGCAUGUUUGCUGACAUGGGAUUGGGCUGCCUGGUUGUAUGACAAAGCUGCCAGAUCAGUUUCUUGAUGUAUAGAAGCAGGCUCUGUUAGUCAGAUGCAGAAAUCUAGCAAGGUCGUUUUAGGAGUAAUUUCCAUUUUGUGUGCUUUUUCCCCCUCAUUGACUGAAAGAGAAUGUGAUUUGCCUCAUUGCAGUAUGAUUCCAGGUGCAAAACACAAUAAUGACCUUUAUGCCAAAGAAUGAAGUUCACGAAAUUGAUAAGAUAGACUCAAUUCAGCAAUGUGGGAAUCUAUUAGCUGGAGGCAGGAGCCGUGUUAACUUCUUCACGUGGGAGGUCAGAGGUCAAGGUGAAGGCCCAGGCUGCAGCCAAGACUGGACUCAGAUAUAAAGAAAGAGGAAAAUCAGGCUCCCCAGUAGCACUGAGGUUUGCAGCCCUCCCUGGGAAAGACACAGGCCUCUUGCAGGGCUUGGAAAGUUCACUGAGGUCCUUUAUCAAGGUGAACAUUUGAUGAGACAGUGGCCCACUGUGAGCUUGAGAGAUGACCUCCCCAAGCAGGGCUCCUGUCAUGAGCUUCACUCUGCUCCUCCUGCAGCUCCUUCCCAAUUUCCUCUGCUUCACACCUGACCCAGAAUUAUAGCACCUGUAUUGAGGUGGUGCUUCUUUUUCCUCUCCUGGAAUUUUGAUUAUUGGUGCUCAAGUAGGAAAUCAGAAAUUUGUUAGGGAGUCUUUCCAAUAACCUAGGAAAAUGGAGGAUUCCAUUUUCACCCAUGCAGUGAAGGGUUGCCUGACAAAACAGCAGGGUGGUCUGAUAUUAGCGUUUCAUCAGAAAUGGCCAAACCAAUCAAGUCCUCCUCUCAGUGGAAAUGACAAGCAUGUUUCACAUGCAAUUACAAAGGGUCCCUAGUGCAGACAUCACUGGAGACUGGAGGACCCUUCCAAAUGCAGCAUGGUGGGGGGCCACUUGUGGCCUGUGCUUGCAUCCCCUUUACUCUGCUUCAGUCUAACUGAGAGCUCAGUUUCACAUCCCCUACAAAUGACAAGAAGCCAAACCUAAUGUAAAAAUGGGGAGCAAGAAGGGACCGCAAAAGGUCACAUGUUCUUUGAAGCCUGAAGCUUAUAAAUAAAGAAGGGAGAAAUAGAGAACCAGAAUGUAUUAGAUCAGAAGGAAGGAGUAGUGUGAAUUUGAGCAUAUUUGGCAGAGGAAACAAAUUAAAAUGGUAAAAUGCUUUGUUUGUUUACAUCCCCGGAAUUAUAAGUAUCUCUGUCUGACCUUGGGUUCAUGAUAUUGAAGGAGGGGCCUAUUGGGUAUGUUUAUUAAUGUUUGAUUUCUAGAGCUUUUAGCCCAACCAAGGACAAAGGCUGUAUAUUCUACAGAUGCUCAUAGAAGAAUAAUGCCUUUUUAAAUAUUGCCAGCUCUGCUGUCAUUUCAGGACCCCAGAGAUUCUGCUUAUUAGAAUAGCAGGCUAGCAAAGAAAUGAGGUGGGCAUAGAGGUGGCAGGGGUUGAUUUCAUAGUUAUCAUGAGAUCUUGCAUGAUUUCCCUAAAAGAUAUUUAAUUUCCACUGGGCAUAAUAACUUGCAGCUGCCGGAUUGUGCUGUGUACCCGUGGUGAGUUCUUGUCUUUGGAGAUUUAUGCAAGUCAUUAUUUAAAAAUAGAGAUCCGGGAGUUACAGCUGGCUAAUUAAUCUACCGCUAAGGAAAGCUAAGCAAAUGACCCACUUAACUGCUUUCAGGAACCACGGUUACUCUGAAGCAAACUUUCAAAAAUGUCCGGUACAAAUAAUCAAACUAACACAACUCCAAGGACUUGUGGUGCCCUCAGGGAAUAUAUGUAUCUUAAUCUGUUUGCGGUUGUGGCAACAGAAUACCUGAGACAGAGUCAUUUCAAAGGAAGGAAGGUUAUUUAGAUUGUGAUUCUGGAGGCUGGGAAGUCCUAGAUUGUGGUAGCAACACGCUAAGGACAAUUGUGCUGUGCCAUAACCUGGCAGAAGGUGCAAGGGCAAGCAAGCGCCCACAGUAGAGAGAACACAAGGGACAGCUUUGCUUUGACACCACUCUUUGUUCGUUUAUUUAUUUAUUUAUUUAUUAUUGGCACUGGGUAUCAAGGCCAUGGGUACUAUGCCACCGAGAUACCGCCUUUUUUCAUUUUAUUUUGUAAAUUUUGAGAUGAGGUCUUGCUAAAUCGCUCGGGUGAAACCUGAACUUGCAAUGCUCCUACCUCAGUCUCCCAAAGGGCUGGGACUACAGACGUGUGCCCCCACCUUUGGCUUAUCAUACCCACUCUUGAACCAACUAACCCAGUCCCGUGAGAGUGCUGACUCACUCCAGGAGGAAGGCAUGUAUCCCCUUGGCCAUCACUAAUUCAGGCCCUCACACACAGUUGAAGGUCCACAGCCUGGGCACCUAGAUGUUUGGCUUCUUGGUCUUUCUGCCUGAAGCUGCUGCUGGAUCCCCCUUUUUGUCAGUUCUGUCUGUGUCACCUGCCUGCUCAGGAAUCCCACUAUAGUCAGCCUUUGACUGCGUCACCUCCAAGGCCUCUGCCUGUCUUCUGAGGGCUCCCCUGAGAGAUGCAAGCCACAUACCACCCAGAUCUCCUCUCAAUGCACCCUCCUCCAGGCACUACAAUCUCUGCCUUCUCAUCCUGCCCUGUCAUCCAGAUGGCUUUUGCCAUUCCUCUCUUAGCCUGAAUGUGGUCUGUCCAUCAUACACACCUCCACCAUGUCUAUCCCGGGCCAACUUAAGUUUUUUUCCUUGAACUUGAGGGGGUACAGUUGAUAGAAUCAGGUCAUGACACAUUUUCAUUAUUGGUCUACAAAGGCGGUGCUCAAGUUUUGCAAUGAAUCAAUUAAUUUGUUUAUGGUAUUUGUUCCUAUUCUUUUUCUUCUCUUGGCAUAGGCAGGCAUUCUAUUAUUAUCUGUAUGUGUAUGUAUGGUACGGAGGAUUGAACCCGUGGCCAUGAUCUAUUAUGUUUUAUGUGGAUCUUUCCUUUUUUUGUAUACAGCCUUGUCCCAAAAAGUUGUUGUUUGUUAUAGUUUAUAUUUAGAUGUCCCCCCAAAGCCUCCUACACUCAUAGGUGGAGCUUUUGGAAGAUGACUGGAUUAUGGAGGCUUUCUGUAGGAGGUGGGGUCUCAUUGGAAGAGCAGAUCACUGUGAGUAUGACCUGGAAGGGUGUAUCUCCCUCCCCAGUUCCUUCCUUCACUCCUGAUUCCUGUCCAUCAUGCCACGAGUGGCUUCUGUUUUGCCAUAAACCUCUGCCAUGUUGCCCUGCCAGGGAGCCAGCCAGCCAUGGGCUGAACCCUCUGCAAACUGAGCCAAAAUAAACCUCUCAUCCUUUAAGUUGUGGGUGUCAGGUAAUGAAUGUAUCUCAGGAAAGAGGAAAGUAAAGCAUUGUUAUAUGUGCAUGUAUUUUAAUUUAUAUAAAUGACAUGUUAAAUUUCAGCUCUUUCUGACUUUAUUCACUCAGCCUAUGCAUUUAAAGGCCAUCCAUGUCUCUCCAUCUAUGUGGCUCCCUCAUUCUCCACGGCAGUCAACCAUCACAUUUACCUCUCUGUGUCCUCCAUUGGAUUUCUCCCACUUUCUGGAUCUCCCUGUCUUAGUCUGUUUUCUGCUGCUAUAACAGAACUCCACACACUAGGCAAUUUAUGAAGAAAGGAGAUUUAUUUGACUCCCAGUCAUGCAGGCUGGGAAGUCCAAGAGUAUGGUGCCACCCUCUGACAAAGACCUUGGUAGUGCCUUACACCACUGCAGAAGGGCAAGCCAGGGCAUGCGAGACAGACCCAGAGGAAGUCAAGUGGAAUUCCCGUUUCUAAAAACCCAGUCUGCUUCCUUCCGUAAGAACAUUAAUCCACCUGAGAGAUCCUAAUCACCUCUGAAAGAUCCCACCUCUGAAAUUCACUCACAAUGGCAGUUAAAUUGCAACAUGAGUUUUGGCAGGGACAUUUAAAUCAUAUCACACUUCUUCUCUGCAGUCUCUUGGUAUUGAUUUACCCUAAAACUGGACUGGAUAAUUUUCUUAUGACUGUUUCAUUUUUUUCCUUGUCUUUUAUGUAAUUCAUAUGAGAUCGAGGAUUAUUCCUUACACUCUUUUCCUCCCCAAAUUCACUGAUCACUCUCUUUCUAGCUCAUUGAUGAAACUUCACUAAAGCUCAGUGCAUAAUUGGUGUUCAAUAAAUCCCUAUUUAUUUAGUGAUUUGAACACCAUAACUCCAUGAAGGUAAACACUUUUCUCUAUUCAUGACUAAAAUGGUGCCUGGAAGGUUGAAGGUGGGUCUAGAAAUAGCUUGGAAGUCAAUAAGUACCUCACUUCUCACAUAAGAAAAAAAUUAUGGAAUAACAGGUUAUGUAGGACUUGGUAUCCCCAUGUUCUAGUUUCUAAUCUGCCACCAAUGAGGUACAUGACAAUGGCUACAUCAGCUCACUUCUCUGGACCUUGGUUAGACCAAACGCUUUCUCAAAUCCUUGUCCAUUCCUACUUGCUAAGACUGUGAGUUCAUUAGAAAUUUUUGAACAUAAAGCAAGACCAUCCACACUAUGCCAUUAUCUCCAUGGAUACCAACUAAUCAUGUCUAAGGCAGUAGGGUAUGGGAGAAAAGGUGCUGGAUAGAAGUGAGAGCCUAUGGUUCCCAUCUUAGGCUCUUAGAGUGGUGGCAAGAACAAAAUGAGCCAAUACCCAUAAAAACAAAGUGCUUAGAAAUGUUUCUGGUGCACAGCAAGCUCUGUGAAAUUCUGCUGGCUUUGUGGCAAUCUGUUGUGUGAUAUUUGAAAGUCUGGUCAUUCUAAUCAUGUGUAAUCCAGGGUACCAGGAAUUCUAGUACCACUGGUGAAAUUAAUAGAUUUCUUUCAGAGGACAGUAAUCACUAGACAACAGUAUGAUAUCUUCUAAAGUCCAAAUGGCUUGCUUUCUGGUAAUAAACAAGUUCUAAUUUUCAUGACUUUUGCAAAGUGAGACAAAAGAAAGAAUAUUACCCUUCAGGGUCACGUAACAGGCAAGAAAGAUGUUGGGACCAGAAUCCCAUGUUCUUUUUUUUUAUCUACCUAAAAGGACUGUUUCUUUCAUAGAGCAGUCACUUAAAAUGAACAUAGACUAGGACCAUGAAUUUAUUAAUAUUAUAUGCAGGUGGUAUUUUCUCCUUUAGAGUGGAAGUGAUAACUAAAUAAUUUGCUUUCUCUUAUCCUUAGGGAAGUGAAUCCAAAUAUUGGACAAAAUAUUAUUAAAAUUCUGAACAGCAUUGAAAGCAUGAGCUUAUUUGCUGCUCUAGGGCUUCUUUUUUUUCUCUAGGUCAAAAGGUAAAGCUAUUAGUCUUAAAGAAAAAACAUUAAAUGCUAUCAGUAAUGGGCUGCAGGUUUUAUAACUUAACUGUAUUUGCUUCAUGAGCAAAUCAGCAUUUGAUAACUAUUCUACUGGGCAGCAGAAGGCUUAAUCAAACAUCAUUUCAGUUUAAUGUUUUUACAUGCAAAAUCCAAUUUGUGGAUUCCUCUGCCAUCUAAAAGUUGACCAGAACAUCAGAUAAAAAUACAAAAUGAGAACUGGAAACUCCGUAUGGGCUAUACACUUUUGGACAAAGGAAGGAUUGAAGCUUGUAGUCAAAGGGGUAGGGAAAUAGGUAAAAUAUUCAGUUAUCGAGGACAACAUAGGAAAAUGAUCCCAAAUCAUUUGCUUUAGAGCUCAGAAACACUAGAGUAAAUUAUAAGAAGUAAACCAGGUGAAUUGGGAUAUUUAAAAAAUGUGUGAGCUUAAUUUUGGGUAGUACCAUAGUUUCCUAUUACAAUAAUGAUGGUCUGUAUUCUCUCUUUUUUUUUUUUUUUUGGUACUGGGGAUUGAACUUGGAAUCUUCCGCUUGUGGGGCAGGCACGGUGCCACUGAGCUAAAUCCCCGGCCCUUGGGGAUACCAGUUUUGAGAGUGGACUGAAAAAGAGAAAGUCCCAGAGGAAACAAUAAAAUUAAGACAACUGGAUGAAAGACAGUGUCAUGUCACAGAGACGAGAGGAACAGUGGUUCAGAUCGGCGGUGUGAUACAAAGUGACAUCGAAGCACUGAAAUCCACAGUAAGAGCUUAGUCCCCAAAUGUAGAAAAGCCAUGGCUUCAGAGUUAGAGCCAUCUCACUGCAGUGGUGGCUAAGUCAACUGAGAAGUGGAUGUGGGAGAGUAAACACAGAGUGCUUUUCUGUGUAGAAAUUUGGGAGAAAGGAAGGGAAUUCAUUAAAUGGAGCUCAAGAAAGUGCAGGGUUGAGAAUGGGUGAUUUGAAGAGUUGAGAAGUUUAAGGCUGGGAGCUGAAGAGAAGGAACCAAUAGUAGGAAAAGUUAGAAGUACAUGAUAAAAAAGAGAAAAGAACUGUUGUAGCUCAUUCCCUAAGAAGUGGGAAGGACGGAGGGACAGACUCCAGAGGAAAAGUGGGCCUUAACCUGGAAGGACUUAAACCUUGAAACCUCUAGGGCUAGAAGGAUGUGUAGAGAAGGGAGUGGGCCAUGAGAAGUGGAAGAGGAAAAAAGUAAGUCCUGUCUCAUGGGUGUAGGACAUUAGUACUUACUCCCCUAAAAUGGACACAGUGAUUAAACAGGUGACCUCCAUCUUGAGAAGUGUCUCAUUGUCCUGGUCAGGCUGCUUUCUCACCAGCCAAUCAGAGUGUUCCCUGUCACUUACACAUGAUUCCAUGCUGCCCCACCCCAGCAUCUGAUUCUCCUCCCAACACUGUGCGUAAACUUGCUCUACCAGUGCCGAUGAUCUUCUGGCCUCACUGGCGCACCCUCAAAAUAUCCACUGAUUAGACCUCGCUUUGUGACUCCCCACCCCCUAUUCAACCUGUCUUCCCAGCACUCCAUGAACAUGCACUCUCAGAUCAACUCAUGCCUGUUUCCGCAUUUCCAAAAGCUGAAACACAUGGUGUGAAAACCACAUGCCUGGAAUAGUGACUGGGACAGUGAAGAUUCCUGAGGUGUCCUCAUUGUCACAUCUGACGGGGAGUGUCAUAGGAGUUUCUGUGAAGAAGGGUUGUAUGCUUCUAGAUGUCAUAUUUCAGAACACGUUACUUUGCUUCAUCACAACUUUUCAGCUACAAAUUUGGUGUACUAUUCACUUUUUUUUUCUUAACAAAGUUUGGAAAAUUUGAUCCAACCUGAUUUUUUAAAAUCAGACUUUACUGCUAUUUGCUGAUUACUAUUGUAAUCACAGAAAUAAAGACAAAGCCAUUUUCUCCUAAAAUCUGUUUUCCAAUAUGUCCAAAAGUCCCCACGUGAAUAGAAAAGAAAUAUACUCACUUUUUGGACUCACUGUCGUAGCUUGAUGCCUCGACCUCCAAAGUACUGGCUGUGUCCAGCCUGAUAGGAUGAGUGGGUAAUAAUAGAAAUGCCCCAGGGACUCUGUGCUCUAUUGAGCCUGGCUCUAGGAUGUCCAGCUUCGUGAUGAAGGGUACUGGUUUUAGAACCAAAUUGAUUUCCUUCCUGUGAGAUAUCUCAGAGGGCUAACGUGAGGAUUAAGUGUGACUCUGAGUUUAAAGAGUUUAGCUCAUCAUUAGUACAUAGCAAGUGCUCAGUAAGUGAAGCCUGCUGUUGAAAUAUUACUACUACUAAGUUUUGUCCUAUUGUAAGAAACUGUCUGGUUUAACCAGCUGCUGGCAGAGGUGUGGCUGCCUUCUCCCCCGGUCUCUGCUGUGCGACUAUACAAUGGAGACUUUCCUGUUCGGAUAUGCACACGCACUUGCUUUUCCCAUAGCUGAUCCCUAAUCUCUGUAGUCAAUUAACAUGAUCAGCCACUUAGGGUAAUCAUUUUCCUAAGAACCAAGAGCACUUACAUUCAGUGGUACCUACUGUAAUGCAAUUAAUUUUUCCAAUAAUAUCCAUCUGAUAGAUAAGUCAUUAUAAAUGAGAGCCAUAAUGAUAAGCUACCUCCUGUUUGCUCAUUUUGAAAAGACUCAUUAGGGACAGUGGUCCUCAAUGUUAAUGAAAUGGCACAAUCCAAUUAGAGAAUUGCAAUUACACAGGGUAGUGCUGGAAUGAGGGAAAUUGCUAUCAAAGAGGGAAUGCUGUGGUCUGUGGCUUGCUUUUACUGUUGCUUCACCUUGAUCCCCAUCUCUCCCUCUUCUUGGGCCAGUUUUGGUCCGUCUUCCGAAUGCAGGUAAACGCCUAAACUAGAAACAGCUUGCUUUUCUCCAAAACAGCUUCUGCCUGAAAAACUUGAUAAUGAUUUCAAAUUUUCCUUCAAUUGAAUUUUUAAUUACAACAGAGAUAGCAAACAUUCCAUUCAUCUGUAAUUUUGACAAGGAUGACAAGCAAUUUCAUAUUCUUUGGAGAACAUUUGACAAGCGAGGGGCCCUCCAGUGAAGUACCAACUGCUUUGCUUUUGGACAGGAGUAUCUGACAACCACUCACUCUCAGAGAAGGUCAGGAACUGGAACAUCUGGAUCUCAGUAACAAUGUUUGAUGUGACAAUCCACAUGUUAUAAUGCAAGCUGCUGCCGGGGAUGUAAAUCUGAUUGUCUGGCUUAGAAUCCUGCUUUUCUAAUUGAUAGCCCAAUACGUACUAUGAAUUGGGAGACUGUAGAGCCAAUUGAUAUAUAUGGGCAUAAUUUUACCUUAAAUAUAUUUUCCCUAUCUUUAGAUCUUAUUGAAAAAUCAGACAAAACAUAUGCAACUAAAUCUUUCCAAAAUACAAAGCUGAAACUUGAGAUGAAUGGCAUAUACAUUUAUUCAUUGAUUUAUUUUGGCAUUUACUGAGUUAAAGAGUCUCACUCAGAGUUCUGGAUUUCUAGAGUUAGAAAUAGACCCCCAAAACUGCUCCGCCCCAGACAGUAGCGAACAAUCCCACCAGUAUCUGGUCCUACUAGCACCUCCCACAAGCUGGGAAAGGCCAUUUGCAGCACCGCUUGCCAACAUCCAAGAUAAACUGAUCGGGAUGAUGUAUCUUCCUCAAGAACAGAGCAGUAUUUCUCAGACCUUUGGAUUUCAGAGACCAGGAAAGCAAAUUCCUCUUCACUAUGUCCUACCAAGGGUGAUCAUCUUAUUAUUUUAGUAACUACAGAUACUUUUUCCUUCUUUUCACUCAUUUGUAAAUUCAGUGCAUAUUUUUUGAGCACAUACUAUCUAUGGCUACUAAAGAUUACCCUGAGAAUGUAAUGAAAAACAAACUAGAUAUAAUUCAUGUACUCAAGGACCACAUAGUCUGGUGGGUCAGAUGGUAUCAAUCAAUCAGUUACACCAGUGUAUACAAAAUUCACAUGAGAGAGGUGCUCUGAUAGAAAUAAACCUGGUUCUCCAGGGGCAUGUAACAUUAAUUUUCCAUCAGCAGAGGGUCAUGGGGAAAUCUUUCCCUUUGAGAUUGUUAUUUGUACUUAACAUACUAGAGACUAUAUAGGGCCUCGUAGGCCAUGGUAAGGAUUUUGAACUUUGUGUUAAAAGUAACAGAAUAUCAUGAAAGAAUUUUAAGCAGGAUUAAUGUUUUAAAAGAGUCCUCUAGAUGCCACUGAGGAAUGGAUUGGAGGACAGACGCAAGAGUGGAAGGAGUGAGAGCAUUUUGGUGGGAUUUGAGUGACCUUGAUAUGACUAGGAUGAUGACUGAUAACUAGUUGGAUUUGAAACAUUUUGGAAUUAAAAUUACUGAAGCUUAUGGAUAGAUAAGAGGGAAGUGGAGGACAGAGGUAUCAAAGAUGAUUUCUAUAUUCCUGGACAACAGAGCAACUUGCCAUUUAAUUUAUCAUCACUGACCCUGAAAAACCAAGACAGGAGCAAGUUGGCAGGAAUGAAAAGUCAGAGGUUACUUUGGGACUCGCUAAAUUUAAGGUGCUUGGGAGAUAUGAACGGCAGGAGGAUAUAUGUGUCUGAAGCCUGGAGGAGCAUUUUAUUGCUAGCCACACUUGGGAGUUAUCAGCAUAUCAUUGGUAUUUAAAGCCCUAGGAGGAGAUAAGCUUUCAUAGGAAUAAGCACUAUAGAAUUUCGAACUCUUUGAGGCCAAAUCCAGAAGGAGAAAUCUUCAGAGUAUCUUUCUAUGAAAAGGAUGACAUUUUUACACCUGCAAAAUAGAACACAGUAUCAAGCCUUAAAAUUAAGGACACUUCGUUGCAUGAAAUCCUUUCUCCACUUUCCUUAUCACUGUCAUUUUGUUACAGAUUGGUGAGAACUUCGUUCCAAAACCUAGAGUUUCUGCAACCAUUCAAGGCAGGAAUAACCUUAUUUCUUUAGCAGAAAAUCGUAUCCAAACCCAGCUUAGCUAACCUCCUAGAUGCCACGCUUAAAACACGCCUGGAGUUUCUAAAUCAAUUUACGACAGGACUAAAAGCCACAGAGUGUCAUAGCUCCUACAAUAGAACCUCAGCUUCCUCCUGUUGCAGCGCAGCCACCUAUCUCCUGUGCAGUGCGGAAGACGAGCCACAUUGUAGCUAGUUGUUUAUACUCAGCAAAGUAAAUGCUUGCAUAAAUAGCGUCUUUUCCUGCCCACUGUAAUACUGGCAUUCACCAUGGUGUUCUUUACUACUGACCCCAGUAUGCAUUUCUGAAUUCUCCUAUUAGAGUGUCUAAGGUAGCCCCGAUCAAUCAGAUUGAAUGUGGGAGAUAAUAGUAAUAUUAGUUUUAUUAUGAUGCUUAUAACUAUUAUUAUUAUAACAUUUCAGCACAUUGUGUUGCACCACUCUGAGGAUUGUCUAUGCCUUGUCUUGUGUAAACCUUAAUUGCAACUUAGACAAUCAGUGCCAUUUUACAGAUGAAGAAACCGAGGCUGAAAACUCAACAUCCCAGGUGUAAGUUUUAUCAUUGUUUUUACAUUGUAUUGUAAUUAUAUGCCAUCAUCUGCAACAGCAGAAACUCACUGAAGACAGGGACUCUAUACUUUUUCUGUUCGGUGUUUCAGCUCCUGACAGUGCUGGGUACAUUUAAGAGUUUUAUUAAGUACUGAACUGUGGGAGACCUUAGGUCCUCUGUAGUGAGAGAAACCUUUUGAAAGACAAUUCCAAGACUGCGUCUUACAUGAUUUUGACCCUCUUACAGUACCUGGCAUAAUACUCAAUAAAUAUUUGGCAUCUUGAGUAUUUGGAUUUAAAAUUGACUGAAAAACUCCAGUAAACUGCGAAGUUUCAAAGUGACAAUGCUGGUAGAAGGGAUUACACUGAAAGAGGAUUAAGAUGCUGUGCUACCUAAUACGCUCUUGGUGCCUGUGUGAGUCUCUUAUUUAAGCAUCCUCAUUCGUGACCGGGAUAGUAUAAAGGAAAGAAGCUGUUCGUUUUGGAACUCACUAAUGAUUCCAAUUUGGAAACUAUCGUAAGCAGCUCGAGUUAACAGAAAUAAAAUGUAAAUGACUUUGGAGAUUUGAGGUGCGUAGGCUGGGAAUGAGGAUGUGAACAUUUGGGAAAAGACGAGGCACUGAUAGACCUGGGGAAAGAGAAUCCACACACAGAGCUGUUCUCGGGGAAGCGGGCACCAGCUCGCAGUGAUGCUGAAGUGGGCCCAGGAGACUGGGUGGUGUACAAAUUAAAUUCAGGCCAGCCACGCACGAAGUCUGGUAGGAGGAAAGGCAAGUCCAGGUUGGAGCUGCCGGUGCAGAAGGAGGGGGGAUAACAGGUCCUUUGUGGACAGUUCUAGCAGAGCUGCACCUGGCACCACACAUUGUGUUCCCACCACUUCAUUACAGGGAGAGCUCGGGCAAUUUGGAGGCAGUGCAGAGAAUAACAAGAGGGAAUGAAUUCCAGAGCCCGGGGAAAGGAUGCCGAAGAAAGAUUAAAAGGAUUAGAUAGCUAUAGUUUAGCUGCAGACAGCCAAAAGGAAGAGAAAGGAGAGGUCUGGAAACUAAUACUAAAUACCCAGGUGUGUUCUACAAUAGCCACGUGGAAACUCCCAGGACACCCAUCCAAUUAAGAUUUUCCACAUGAAAAUGGAUGUUUUCUUCUAAGCAGUAGGCUUCCUGCCUGAACUGGCACCCUACCUACCUAAGUGCUUGGGAAAUACUAUAUUAUAAAAUCACCUUCGUUUGCCAAAAGGGUGUAGGAUCUGGGCAAAAGACCACUAAAAAAUCACAUUAAAAAUCAGCCAGCCCUUUCCUUUCUGCCAGUGAGGACAGGAUGGAAGGAACUGGAUUUGUGUUGUUGUGUGAGUCAAGUCUGACUCUUCAACAAUGAAGUCGCCUCUUGCAACUCAGACAAAUACAGAACAAAAUAGAAACCUUUGUAGCACAGGGAA